ensembl:ncRNA lncRNA:CR46117 long non-coding RNA:CR46117
AGAGAAGUUGGCUUUGUGUAGUACUGCAGUACUAUGUACGGAUAGAAUCCAUCGGCCGACAUGCAAAGCAAACGGCGUUCGGGGCAGCUACGUGGAAGUACAUUUACAAACCGUAGAUAGACAUCUGAAGAUAAAGCAAAUUGCUGUGCUACAAAAUCGUUAACUGUAAUUUACCGCAUUUGAAAUGCUGGCCAUUCGCCAUUCACCAUUCACCUUUCUCGAUUCUAUUGUAGAUUCCCCGAUUCUCCAUGCAGUUAUGAAUGCUCGAGUUGGUGUGCAGGUGCCGACUUUAAUUGUGUUUUUUCAAACGGCCAACCAGUUUUGGGGAAAACGGCGCAGGUAAUUGAGGCAUACAAAGGUAGAAAGUCGGAUAUCGGAGGUGGUUGUAAUGGGAAGCACUUGAGAGCCACUUGCGAGCCGAGAAUUAGCCUCAGAGCUAGUGCCAGAAAUGCAAAUGAGGGCCAGAAAUGAGCCGCUUCCCCCACUUCCAGUCCUCAUAUUAAUCAUACGCACUGCGGCCGGCGUCGCCUAAUUUACACAAAGUGCAAUCAGCGCAGCUAUGCAAACUCAAGCCCAUUCAGACACUCAAGUGCAGUUCCAAAUUGAAAGCGUGCCAGUUUGGGCUGUCGCAGAUCAGCAAACAGCAAAUGGAAUAUGUGGGAAACAGCCCCCAGAAUUGUCGUGAAUGCAAAUGAAAUCCGCAUAUCUCCCACCCAAUUCAUCUCGAUUCGCCAGUGUGCAAUAAGUUUGCGCCAGAACUAUAAUAUAGCUGCUGUCAAAAGUAAUGAAAGGCCCGAGCAAGAGGCCUAUAUG